rnacentral:lncRNA from 1 species
CCCCUCGGGAUUGGGAGAUAAAGAUAUAUUCUUUUAACUUUACCAAAGAGUUAAAAAAUAUAGGUAUAUUUCUUCAUGCUUGCGAAGACAGGUCUCCUGCCUUUUUCUUAUAUUUACGAUUGGAAUGAUCGGUCUAUAUUUUGUAUGUUUAUGAGUUCAGUCUAUUUUUAUGUUAUUUCGUACUAUCCAAUUCCUUUUUGUGGUAUCUUUUUCUCAUGAGAGGUAAUUAAAAGAAAUUAUAAAAUGGCUUGCUACUUAUUUUUAGAUUUGGAAAUUUUAUUGAUAAGACCUUUUCAAUUGUAGCCAAUAUCUUACUACGAAUAAUCCCCACAACUUCGGGAGAAAAGGAGGCAUUUACCUAUUACAGAGAUGGUGUGAUUUGAUUUUUUUAUUUACCGCCUUCAACUCGAGUCUUAGGAGAAAGGCACCUUAGUCGGGAUAGAAAGGUUUGAAAUAACUCUACGCUUGUUGAAGGUGCAGUUUCAAAAUAAACCAAUUCCUUCUGUCGUGUAUCCUCGAUUAAUGCAGCCUUAAAUGCUCCAACUGUCGAUUCUAGCAUUGAGCGAAAGGUUAUCCCUAUGGCAUGUUUUUUGUAUUGUAGAUUAACCCCAUUUCACUAGUACCAAUAGGUUGGCAUGUAGGAAAAAAUACUGCCCCUAGGAAUCAACAACACGGAACCUUUGUUAAAAAAUCCUGGCUUAGGAUCGAAACUAUGAAGAAUGGUUGGGAUAACAAAUAUCCAUCUUGUUCGGACUUUGGAUACCCAUAUAACCAUCAAAGACUAUUGAAGUGACUAAUUCGCUUAAAUUAGAAGGGCGUUGAGGACAAAGAAAUUAUUGGAGUUAACUUAACAUUUUUAUCUAGUAUCAACAGCUGGGAUGUUAAGAAAAAAAUUUUUGCAGGAAGGUUGGCUAGUGAUUUAGUGUAAAAAUACUAGCCCCGCCCAGUUCAUAAAAACUACUAUUUCACUCCUUUUUUAUUCUCUAUAUUUUUUUCAUUAUACACAUAAAGGAGGAGCCGUAUGAGAUGAAAAUCUCAUGUACGGUUCUGGAACGGAGAUUAUUUAAAUCAAAUACGACCGUAACGGAUGUCUGCUCAAUCCGAAGGGAAUUUUGCGGAAGCUUUACAGAAUUAUUAUGAAGCUAUGCGACUCGAAAUUGAUCCCUAUGAUCGAAGUUAUAUACUCUAUAAUAUAGGUCUUAUUCACACAAGUAAUGGAGAACACACAAAAGCUUUGGAAUAUUAUUUUCGGGCACUAGAACGAAACCCAUUCUUACCACAAGCUUUUAAUAAUAUGGCUGUGAUCUGUCAUUACGUGCGGCUAUCUCCACUAUAGAAAGAAAAAAAGAAAGAGAAAAUUUGACUAGUAAAAAAAAUAGGCUUUCUACAUAUGUAUCGCCCAAAACAACGAUUUUUAUCAGCUGUAGCAAGGAAACUUUAUAGAAAUCAAAAUAUGAAGAAAAAGGAUGCCUAGAUAUUUUAGUCUAUGGAUAAAGGUCUAGUUGAUAAAGGAAGCGCCGUAAAGAUAGUGAGAUUUUUGGUCGAUAUAAUAAGAACUGCUUAAUUAUGUCAUAAUAUGAGACAAAACUUAGGAAUCCACUUAUGUAACAGAGAUGAUCC